GACGAACGCUGGCGGCGUGCUUAACACAUGCAAGUCGAACGGUAAGGCCCUUCGGGGUACACGAGUGGCGAACGGGUGAGUAACACGUGGGUGAUCUGCCCUGCACUUCGGGAUAAGCCUGGGAAACUGGGUCUAAUACCGGAUAGGACCACUGCCUGCAUGGGUGGUGGUGGAAAGCUUUUGCGGUGUGGGAUGGGCCCGCGGCCGAUCAGUGUGUUGGUGGGGUGAUGGCCUACCAAGGCGACGACGGGUAGCCGGCCUGAGAGGGUGACCGGCCACACUGGGACUGAGAUACGGCCCAGACUCCUACGGGAGGCAGCAGUGGGGAAUAUUGCACAAUGGGCGCAAGCCUGAUGCAGCGACGCCGCGUGAGGGAUGACGGCCUUCGGGUUGUAAACCUCUUUCAGCACCGACGAAGCGCAAGUGACGGUAGGUGCAGAAGAAGGACCGGCCAACUACGUGCCAGCCGCCGCCGUAA
rnacentral:rRNA from 1 species